rnacentral:rRNA from 1 species
UUCUGACCUGCUCACUGAAUAUUUUAAAGAGCCGCGGUAUUAUGACCGUGCAAAGGUAGCAUAAUCAUUAGUCUUUUAAUUGGAGGCUGGAAUGAAUGGUUUGACGAAAGAAUGACUGUCUCAAGUUUAAUUAAUAAAAUUUAACUUUUAAGUUAAAAGGCUUAAAUUUAACUUUAGGACGAGAAGACCCUAUAGAUCUUUAUGUUUUAAUUAAAAAUAUCUUUUUGAUAAUUUAUUUAUUUAUUAUUUAAAACAUUUUGUUGGGGUGACAUAAAGAAUAGAUAAACUCUUUAUUUGAUUUAUCAUUAAUUUAUGAAAAUUUGAUCCAUAAUUUUUGAUUAUAAGAUUAAGUUACCUU